GACGAACGCUGGCGGCGUGCUUAACACAUGCAAGUCGAACGAAGUGGGGAACGGGGGAGUAAUACGUGGGUAAACCGCCCUCCUUUUUGGGAUAAGCCUUGGAAAAGGGGUCUAAUACCGAAUAAAGGGGGAAGGGCUCGCGGCCUAUCAGGUUGUUGGUGGGGUGGUGGCCUACCAAGGCGGCGACGGGUAGCCGGCCUGAGAGGGUGACCGGCCACGUUGGGACUGCGAUACGGCCCAGACUCGUACGCGGUGGGGCAGUGGGGGAUAUUGCACAAUGGUCGAGAGCCUGAUGCAGCGACGCCGCGUGGGGGAUGAAGGCUUUCGGGUUUUAAACCUCUUUCGAUAUGGAACGGGUAGGUGGAGAAGAAGCGCCGGCUAACUACGUGCCAGCAGCCGCGGUAAUAC
rnacentral:rRNA from 1 species